AAUCAAUCUGCUUCUGGGUGAGGUGAUCUGCAACCGUAAAGCUGGUUCCUGACUGUAAAGCCGGUUCUUGAUGCCAACACCAAGGGUGGAGUGAAGUCCCAUGAAGCAACACUGAUGAACAAGACCAAGGUGGAGUGAGGUCCCAUGAUGCAACACUGAUGAACAAGACCAAGGUGGAGCCAAGUCCCACGAUGCAACACUGACAGGACCAAGGUGGAGCAAUUUCCCAUGAUGCAUCAUUGACAGGAUCAAGGUGGAGGAAAGUCCCACUGAUGGGCAGGAUCAAGGGUGGAGCGAAGUCCCACGAUAUAACACUGAUAGGCACUGGCAGAAAGAGCGUGGCUUCAUUGCUUGCCGAGUGUAGCUUAGAUCCCCACCCACAGGCACGACUUACCAUAUCCUUGCCCUGAAUCAUCAAGUCUGGGAGUGGAUAGGAUAUAAGGUAGAAAGAACUAAUAUACACAAAAGACGUCUUUUUCUGAUCAUAAAAAUGCACGCACGUCUUUCAAAAAGUCUAGAGGCAAGAGAUGACUUACUUAGUCAUGAUAUAUUUUAGGAAUCCGUUAGUCUCCGCAUCGGCUAGGAAGAGAUUCCUGGAAAUCCGAAAGUGAGACUGUCGGGAAGAGGUCUCAGGAGAAUAACAACAAUGAUGACCACUUGCUGCCGCUGUUCCAGGUGCAUUCCGUGGAUUACCUCACACGAUGAAUCCAUGAAUCACCAUAACUAGCCCCGGGGCCUGGUUCUCAGGCAAGGGCUGGAAAUUAUGAUGGGAAGGCUCACUUGGAAUGGUGGUUCAGAGUGGGUGGGCACCGGCAGUGUCCACUGGCAGCAAUGGUUCAAGAAGGCUCUUUUUCCUGUGCCCUGGCUUCCUGAAUGAGACGUUGCUGCCCUGACAUCCCCCUUCCUCCUUAGUCUUUCUACUCCAUCACUCUGAGAUGCAGUGUGAUCAGCUGCCUCAUGCUCCUGCUGCCAUGUCUUCUCCGCCAUGAUGGGCUGUGCGUUCAAACUACCAGGUACCUUGGGACAGCAAUGAGGGAAGAACCCAGUACACUCCCUGCC
ensembl:lncRNA